UGAAAGUCCUGUCCAGCAGCUGCGAAUGAGCCAUGCUUGCAUGGACGAAUUCGCAGAUAUUGGACGGGCUAGACCGUAUGAGUAAGUAGGGCGAUAGCCCGGAUUACGAAUACGGUCGGCAGUUACGGGAGCACCGUAGGUGCGGAGUAACUGACUUUCA
rnacentral:sRNA from 1 species